AGUGAACGCUGGCGGCGUGCCUAAUACAUGCAAGUCGAACGAAGUGGCGCACGGGUGAGUAAUAUAUAGUUAAUCUGCCCUACACAGAGGAACAACAGUUGGGAACGACUGCUAAUACCUCAUAGUGUAGGAUGAGACUAUAUCGUAUCAGCUAGUUGGUAAGGUAAUGGAUUACCAAGGCGAUGACGCGUAACUGGUCUGAGAGGAUGGUCAUUCACAUUGGAAGUGAGACACGGUCCAAGCUCCUACGGGAGGCAGCAGUAAGGAAUAUUGCGCAAUGUGGGAAACCCUGACGGAGCAACGCCGCGUGGAGGAUGACACUUGUCGGAGCGUAAACUCCUUUGAUCAGGAAAGCGGUACCUGAUGAAUAAGCACCGGCUAACUCCGUGCCAGCAGCCGCGGUAAUUC
rnacentral:rRNA from 1 species